rnacentral:snoRNA from 1 species
CCCGCCACUAUGCCCGUCUGUCACGGUGACUGAGUAUAAUCCAGUGGAGGCUCAGAGUGCCCAGCUUUAGGAAACAGGGCUGCCCCAACAUGUGGACAACUCUGUGCCAAAGUCUGGAACAGAU